rnacentral:rRNA from 1 species
CAAGUCGAACGCUCAUUUUGGUGUAGCAAUAUAUCAGAGUGGGAGUGGCGCAAGGGUGCGUAACACGUGGGUAAUUUGCCGUGAAGUUGGGGAUAACUCGCUGAAAGGCNAGCUAAUACCGGAUGUGGAAUGAGAGUGGCAUCACUUUUCUUCCAAAGCUGGGGAUCGUAAGACCUGGCGCUUCAUGAUAAGCCCGCGGCCUAUCAGCUAGUUGGUGAGGUAACGGCUCACCAAGGCUAAGACGGGUAGCUGGUCUGAGAGGACGACCAGCCACACUGGAACUGAGACACGGUCCAGACACCAACGGGUGGCAGCAGUCGAGAAUUUUUCUCAAUGGGCGCAAGCCUGAAGGAGCGACGCCGCGUGGGGGAUGAAGGGUUUCGAUCCGUAAACCCCUGUCAUUUGUGAACAAAGCUUAUUCAAUAACACUGGGUAAGUUGAUAGUAAUGAAAGAGGAAGGGACGGCUAACUCUGUGCCAGCAGCCGCGGUAAUACAGAGGUCCCGAGCGUUGUUCGGAUUCACUGGGCGUAAAGGGUGCGUAGGUGGCCUAAAAAGUUUGAUGUGAAAGCUCAGGGCUUAACCCUGAAAUGGCAUUGAAUACUGUUGGGCUGGAGGUUUGGAGGGGGGACUGGAAUUCUUGGUGUAGCAGUGAAAUGCGUAGAUAUCAAGAGGAACACCAGUGGCGAAGGCGAGUCCCUGGACAACACCUGACACUGAGGCACGAAAGCCGGGGGAGCAAACAGGAUUAGAUACCCCUGGUAGUCCCGGCCCUAAACGGUGCGUGUUUGCUGUAAGAGGAAUCGACCCCUCUUGUGGCGAAGCUAACGCGUUAACACGCCGCCUGGGGAGUACGGUCGCAAGAUUAAAACUCA